GAUGAACGCUGGCGGCGUGCCUAACACAUGCAAGUCGAGCGAUCUUCUUCGGAAGAGAGCGGCGGACGGGUGAGUAACGCGUGGGUAACCUGCCCUGUACACACGGAUAACAUACCGAAAGGUAUGCUAAUACGAGAUAAUAUACUUUUAUCGCAUGGUAGAAGUAUCAAAGCUCCGGCGGUACAGGAUGGACCCGCGUCUGAUUAGCUAGUUGGUAAGGUAACGGCUUACCAAGGCGACGAUCAGUAGCCGACCUGAGAGGGUGAUCGGCCACAUUGGAACUGAGACACGGUCCAAACUCCUACGGGAGGCAGCAGUGGGGAAUAUUGCACAAUGGGCGAAAGCCUGAUGCAGCAACGCCGCGUGAGCGAUGAAGG
rnacentral:rRNA from 1 species